UACAGAGGUCUCAAGCGUUGUUCGGAUUCAUUGGGCGUAAAGAGCUCGUAGGCGGUCUGUUGCGUCCGCUGUGAAAACCCAGGGCUUAACCCUGGGCUGGCAGUGGAUACGGACAGACUAGAGGUAGGUAGGGGAGAAUGGAAUUCCCGGUGUAGCGGUGAAAUGCGCAGAUAUCGGGAGGAACACCGGUGGCGAAGGCGGUUCUCUGGGCCUUACCUGACGCUGAGGAGCGAAAGCGUGGGGAGCGAACAGG
rnacentral:rRNA from 1 species